ensembl:lncRNA
GACUUAACAAAGUUUGCAACACAGCUGAAAAAAAAAACCCUCAUUAUAACACAAUUCAGCUGCUCACAGCAGAUGUUGGAUCCGCCCACAGCUUUAAGGGGAGGCAGGGCUAGAAGCGAGCGCAAUGUUGGCUGCAGACAAUUAAUGUGGAGAGCAGUAGCCUAGAGCUAAGCCUUUGUGUUGAGACAAAUGGAGCAAGGGGUGGUAUACUGCACCCUGUGUUAUCCACCCUACGAUCCCUGCAUCUGGGCGUACAGAACAUAGUAUUGGAAUUGUCCAUCCUUCCAGGACUGCCACAAUCUUCAUACAAUGGCCAUCACGUUUAACUGAAAAGAGGUUAAAACCCUCAGAGAUGCAGACUGCCGCUCUUUAGGGGUAUUUCCUUCCUGGCAACAUGAUCGAUAAACCAUUAGGUAACUCUGAUGACUGUGCAAAAAUCAGCCUUUUUCCUCCUCCUCUCUCCCAGCGUUGCUUCCUGAAUGCUAAGAAGAGGUUAAGGAAGAGCACUGAAUGCUGCGGGUUGCCACCACUGUGCAGUGUGGGCAGUCAGUUCACAGGGGAGCCUAUGGGGCAGGAACACCCAUGGAAAACGUGGACAAAAAAAGCCCACAGUGCUCCUGCUGUGAUGAAGGGGAUGGAGACUGGCUGUUGCUCCUUGAAGACCACCAGAGCAGGGAGCUUCCUCCUCGCUUGAAGCGUCUAAGAGCUCUGCAAGGCGCUGGGAGAAAACCAGCCUCCAUCACCAACUUCAGGGGUUGGAAAAUAAUUGGAAAAGAAUCCCCCAUGUAUUUUUUCUUCUAUGACUCAUGAAUUUCAGUGGGGUCCCUCAGCGCACAUCUCUCCAUGGGGUCACAGUGCCUUGUGGCAGGCAGCUGUGUCCAGUCGGGACCCAGUUCUAGGGGAGAGCGGUGACAGUGUGACCGCAGGGAGCAGCGGUAUGCAGCCCGAGAAGGGCUCCUCGGCUGCUUUCUGCUUGUUUUCAUUACUUCCAAAUGAAUGCACAGCCUUUAUUGAAAGUCGCUUGUUUUCAGUGCAGCUUCCUUUUGAGGCAGGUGUGACAGUCAGCAUUGCUCUGGGCCUUACACCAUGCUCAGUUCUCCAGGCUUCCGGCUGCAGCUCCUCAAGUCAAAACCCACACAGACAACAUAGAUGUUCCUGUGGGCUUUCUAUGUCCGGCGAGGGUCAGCUGUGGGUUAGGGAAAGGCUGUGCCCCAGAGGGCAGUGGGCAUGGAACAGCCUGCCCAGGGCAGUGGGCAUGGCCCCAGUGCUGAGGCUCAGGGAGUGCUGGGAUGCCGCUCUCAGACAUAGGGUACGUGGGGCUGAAGGGCCCUGCCAGCCCACAGCAGGCCACGGCCCUGUGCCCGCUGUGGCUUGACUCAAAGCAUUCCAGAGAGGAAUAAAUACAGGUUAAGUACUAAAAUCCUACUGAAACCGUGCAGGAGCUGAGUGCUCAGUUCCCUCAAGAUUUUUUAGGCAGGUGGAAUAUAUCUAUCUAAGCCAAGGAAAAGGACACCAGGCUUCCAACCCUAGCUCUGCUUAAGGUCUGUUACUGCAAAUAACCUUGUACAAAGUGGAGUAGAUAACCUGAUUAAUUCUGCUUGCCAUUCAAGCUUGCAUUAAAUAAGACGUGUAACUUCAGACAGAAAGCCAGCCAUUCUUCUGUUCUAACAGUCUGCUGUCAACGCAGGACAAUAAAAUAUGAAUAUUUUAGAUUCAUAGUGCAGACAAAUAGGAAAUAGGAGCUGUAUUGUGCUUCACAUGCACGGCUAGCUCAGUAAUGCUAACGUGAUUAUCUCAUUGAACUUUUGUGCCAUCGCUUAAGGGCAGCUUUGUCUUGCUUAGCUGGGAUGUACAUAUUUGUUUCUUCCAUGCAUAGCUCCAUAGUCUUUUUUAAGCUUGUGGAAAUGGGAAAAUCUGAUUUUCCUCCUCAGCCACAAGGUAGCAUCAUUCCUUGGCAUUGCUUGGACCAGUACGUCUUAAGUGCAAUUUUUACAGGUUCCUACCAAAAUAUUUUAAUGUCUGCAGCUAGAUUUCCAGACAGAAACAUGGGAAAAUCACACCAGAAUUUAAAAUAUGAAUUAUAGCGUGGUUCACUCUCUGUAACAGAGAGACAAGGAGGGUAAUCAAAACAUGAAAUAUUCUGAUUCAUUCCUCUCCCUAAGCAGAAAAAAAAUGUUUUCAGGAUUAGUGGGGGUUUGGUCUAGAUGGGCUGCCAUUUGGUUAUUCAGCUGUGAGAUUCAUUACCUGGGCAGGCUGGCUUUGCCAGCCCUGAGAUCACAGCAAUAGCAUGCACCUGACGUGGGGUGGCAAAAAAAGCUGGGUGAAUUCAACUCUAAUGAAAACAUCUUGCCACACUGACCCAAAAAACCAUCAAUCUGAGUACUCAGUUCCCUUUUUAAUAUCUAAAUCCUUUUAUUUUCUCUGUGCUGGAUUUGUUUUAUAUUUCCCUUUUAAGUUAGCACUUUGUGUGGGGGUGGAUGUUACGAAGACCAGUUUUGAUGGAAAGUAGAUUGAGCCUUGAAGACUUUCAUCACUGCAUUAUAGCUCUGCUCCCUCCACCCCUCACUGAUAUCCCUCCAUUUACAUGAGUAUUGGACAGGACUUAGGAAUCAGCCCUGACUUGGCCAGUUUUAUUGGGUUUAUGUGGCAAUGUUUUGGUAGCAGGAGGCUGCAGGUGUGGCUUGUGUGAAUAGGCCAAGACCUGCCCCAUCUUAAAUCAAAGCCAGUUCCAACCAGCUCUAAAGGUGACCGACUGCUGCCCACAGCUGAGCCAAUCGGUGAUGCUGGUGGCACCUCAGCGAUAACACACUUAAGAAAGGGUAAAAUACAUUCUGCAGCAGUUGUGAGAGAGAGGAAUGAGAAAAUGUGAGAGAAAACUCUGCAGACACCAAGGUUAGGGAAGAAGGAGGGGGAAGAGGUUCUCUAGGCACCGGAGCACGCAUUUCUUGACAGCCCAUGAAGAGGACCAUGGUGAUGGAAGCAGACCAUGGAGGAACCCAUGCCACAGCAGGUGGAUAUCCUGAAGGAAGCUGAAGCCAGCCAACACAGGAGCAGGCUGGAGCUGUAUCCAUGCAGAAGGGACCAUGCUGGAGCAGUCUCCUGUUUAUGGAUGGUACCUUGCACAGAGGACCCGUGCUGUAGCAGUUCUUGAAGGAUUGCUUCCCAUGGGAAGGACCCCAUUCUGGAGCAGGGGAAGAGUGUGAGGAGGAAGGAGUGACAGAUGUGGACUGCUGGAACUGACAGCAAUGCCCAUUCUCCAUCCUCUGUGCUGCUCCUUCACCCUGCUAUGGUCAUGUCCCAGGGCAAAUAAUGGCUGUGCAUCCAGCCUCUGUCCUUUCUUCCCUUAGAGUAUUUACAGGCAGAUUUAACAGUUCCUCAUUGACUGAAAGGGUUCAAUAUGCUAGCGAAACUUAAAAAUUCAAAUGAUUAUUAACAAUUUUAAUGAACUUUGUCAUAAAAUGUAACUAUAAAGAAUGCCCCAUAAAAAAAAAAAAAAAGACCUUUCACAACCAGAAGUAAAAAAUAACCUUUAAAAAUUCUUAUGAAAUGUAUGAUGAAACUUAGAGUUGUAGAAUCAUAGAAUGGCCUGGGUUGAAAAGGGCCAUAAUGAUCAUCGAGUUUCAACCCCCCUGCUAUGUGCAGUGUCACCAACCACCAGACCAGGCUGCCCAGAGCCAAAGUUGGUCCCUCAGUGUGCAUUAGCAUUGAUGUAGAGAUGUAGAAGUUAUAAAGGCCACUGUAGCUCAGGGAUUUAGUGCAGGUAAUAAGAUGAAAAGAAUGGGCACAGUCUCCUUUUGGUAGAAUUGGUAUGACAACAUCUCAAGUCCCAGCUGAGCAGGGAUCAAAUCAAGAUGUACAGUUCUGUAUAAAAGUGAACGCAAAGCUAUGUUGGAUGCUCAGCAUGCAAAGGAAGGUUCAGGCUAUGUUAGAGAGUCUUAAGAAGAAUUUGGCAGCUUGCUGGGGAGGAGGGAAGGGAUGCAGAACAGAUGUUCUGAAGAUCCCUCUGGUUUUAACAUCUGCUCCAUAGUUCUUGCAACUGGGAGGGUCUGGAUUUGAUGACCAGUUUCACAUUCCUGAAAUGGCCAUAAUCUCUGCCCUGAAGCCCUCUGAGCCAAAGCAAGGGGUGUCUUUGCCUCGGAUGCACAUACCUUCUGUCUGGUGCUAAGAGGGAGAGAAAGCUCAGCCUGACGUCCAUCCUGCAAACUCGUGAACACGGUCAGUCAGCGGUGAAGGACAUUUUGGAAGAUACCACCAAAACUUUACCAGAAAGCAAAAACAAAAGUGCAAGAGACCUCACCAACUCUGCCAGCUCCCCACUGGAGCACUGGAGGUCCAGGACCAUGCUCCAUGGCAGAGAGAGGAGAGCACCAAAGAAGAACCAACAGAAGCCAUAAUGAAGCUAUUAGCCUGCCCUUGGGUGGACCAGGUGGCCUUUAGACCACACCAGGAGAUGCAGAAUGAGCACUGGGGCAAUGUGCGAAGGUCCUCCAGUGGUGGGAUACACAGCCACUCACUGAAUGCUGCCAUCCACCCAGGAGGAAGUUCUUUAGGUCCCAAAUCUGGCUCCUGACUGUCAGCACUGGGACUGGGUGCUUUGAAAUGAGACUCAAAGGGAAACAGGGUGUAUCUUCAUGUCAUCAGUUUGUACAGGGAAGCCAAUGAUUUGUAGUGGGUACCAUGUGCUGUUGCACUGGAGUUACUCUCUAAUUACACAACACUGGCACUUUCCGAUACUUG